UCGUAACAAGGUUUCCGUAGGUGAACCUUCGGAAGGAUCAUUAUAGAUUUAUUGAUACUUUGUGAAACAAAUGAUAAGCUUUAUGCGAAAUACUUUUUAUUAAUUUAGUCUAAUACGAAAAAAAUCAAAACCUUUAACAAUGGAUCUCUUGGUUCUCGUAUCGAUGAAGAACGCAGCAAAGCGCGAUAGAUAAUGUGAAUUGCAGACGUGAAUCAUUGAGUUUUUGAACGCACAUUGCACCUCUUUGGAGGUAUACUUGUGUGAGCGUCAUUUUUUCUCCACAUAUAUAUUAGUGGGUAAUGGUUCACUAUAUGGACUGAAAAAGAUUAUACACAGUUGUUAGACACAAGCUGUGGAAAAUUAUCAAAUUUUGACCUCAUAUCAAGUAAGAUCACCCGCUGAACUUAAGCAUAUCAAUAAGCGGAGGAAAAGAAACCAACAGGGAUUCCCUUAGUAACGGCGAGUGAACCGGGAAAAGCUCAAAUUUGAAAUCUGCCAACAGGCCGAGUUGUAAUUUGUAGAUGGCUACACUGCAUAAUAGUAGAUGCUCAAGUUCUUUGGAAAAAGACAUCAUGGAGGGUGACAAUCCCGUGAGGCAUGUUACUAGGAGCAUAUAGUGGGCUUUCUAAGAGUCGAGUUGUUUGGGAAUGCAGCUCA
rnacentral:misc_RNA from 1 species